AUUGAACGCUGGCGGCAGGCCUAACACAUGCAAGUCGAGCGGAUGAAGGGAGCUUGCUCCUGGAUUCAGCGGCGGACGGGUGAGUAAUGCCUAGGAAUCUGCCUGGUAGUGGGGGAUAACGUCCGGAAACGGGCGCUAAUACCGCAUACGUCCUGAGGGAGAAAGUGGGGGAUCUUCGGACCUCACGCGAUCAGAUGAGCCUAGGCCGUAUUAGCUAGUUGGUGGGGUAAAGGCCUACCAAGGCGACGAUCCGUAACUGGUCUGAGAGGAUGAUCAGUCACACUGGAACUGAGACACGGUCCAGACUCCUACGGGAGGCAGCAGUGGGGAAUAUUCCACAAUGGGCGAAAGCCUGAUCCAGCAAUGCCGCGUGUGUGAAGAAGGUCUUCGGAUCGUAAAGCACUUUAAGUUGGGAAGAAGGGAAGUAAGUUAAUAUCUUGCCGUCUUGACGUUACCAACAGAAUAAGCACCGGCUAACUUCGUG
rnacentral:rRNA from 1 species